GCAUAUCAAUAAGCGGAGGAAAAGAAACCAACAGGGAUUGCCCUAGUAACGGCGAGUGAAGCGGCAACAGCUCAAAUUUGAAAUCUGGCCUCGGCCCGAGUUGUAAUUUGCAGAGGAAGCUUUAGGCGCGGCACCUUCUGAGUCCCCUGGAACGGGGCGCCAUAGAGGGUGAGAGCCCCGUAUAGUUGGAUGCCUAGCCUGUGUAAAGCUCCUUCGACGAGUCGAGUAGUUUGGGAAUGCUGCUCAAAAUGGGAGGUAAAUUUCUUCUAAAGCUAAAUACCGGCCAGAGACCGAUAGCGCACAAGUAGAGUGAUCGAAAGAUGAAAAGCACUUUGAAAAGAGGGUUAAAUAGCACGUGAAAUUGUUGAAAGGGAAGCGCUUGUGACCAGACUUGCGCCGGGCUGAUCAUCCGGUGUUCUCACCGGUGCACUCGGCCCGGCUCAGGCCAGCAUCGGUUCUCGCGGGGGGAUAAAGGCCCUGGGAACGUAGCUCCUCCGGGAGUGUUAUAGCCCAGGGCGUAAUGCCCUCGCGGGGACCGAGGUUCGCGCAUCUGCAAGGAUGCUGGCGUAAUGGUCAUCAGCGACCCGUCUUGAAACACGGACCAAGGAGUCAAGGUUUUGCGCGAGUGUUUGGGUGUAAAACCCGCACGCGUAAUGAAAGUGAACGUAGGUGAGAGCUUCGGCGCAUCAUCGACCGAUCCUGAUGUUUUCGGAUGGAUUUGAGUAGGAGCGUUAAGCCUUGGACCCGAAAGAUGGUGAACUAUGCUUGGAUAGGGUGAAGCCAGAGGAAACUCUGGUGGAGGCUCGCAGCGGUUCUGACGUGCAAAUCGAUCGUCAAAUCUGAGCAUGGGGGCGAAAGACUAAUCGAACCAUCUAGUAGCUGGUUACCGCCGAAGU
rnacentral:rRNA from 1 species